rnacentral:lncRNA from 1 species
CGCUCGGGUCCCCUUCCACACUGUGGAAGCUUUGUUCUUUUGCUCUUUGCAAUAAAUCUUGCUGCUGCUCACUCUUUGGGUCCACACUGCUUUUAUGAGCUGUAACACUCACCACAAAAGUCUGCAGCUUCAGUCCUGAAGCCAGCGAGACCACGAGCCCACCAGGAAGAACAAACAAACUCCAGACACGCCACCUUAAGAGCUGUGACACUCACCACGAGGGUCCGCGGCUUCAUUCUUGAAGUCAGUUGAGACCGAGAACCCACCAAUUCCGGACACACUGGGAUUACAGGUGUGAGCCACUGCGCCCAGCCAAGCAUGCCAUUCUUUAGAAGAUGUUCUCUCCUGGCACAUCUCAGUUUCUACAAAGGCCCCCAGCCCUUCCUGGAGACCCCUGGGGCGAAGUUCUCUCACCCUUCUUCACAUGCCCAUAACAACUCACCUCCCUCUCUCUUAGAGCCCCCGUCCUGCCCUUCCUUGAAUUCUGGUCAUGCUCAUGUUUGCCAUAGCUCCCCAAGGAAGACAGCCUCUGAGUCAGGUCUGACAUUGUCUGUCCUUAAAGAAGGCACUUAACACAUAUUUGUCAACUGAAUUAAUAAAAAUUUCCCACAGGGCCUUGGAAGAAAUUUUGUACCUGUUUGCCUCUGCUGGAUGACGCACUCUGAACACAGCUACCUAAAAGUGGAAGGAAGGAGGCCGGGCAGGGUGGCUCACGCCCAUAAUCCCAGCACCUUGGGAGACUGAGUCAGGUGGAUCACUUGAGCUCAGGAGUUUGAGACCAGCCUAGGCAACAUGGCGAAAUCCUGUCUCUACAAAAAAAAUUUAAAACUUAGGCAUGGUGGCACGUGCCUGUAGUCCCAGCUACUCAGGAGUCUGAGGUGGGAGGAUUGCUUGAGCCUAGGAGGUGGAGGCUGCAGUGAGCCGAAAUCACAUCACUGCCCUCCAGCCUGAGCAACAGAGCAAGACCCAAUCUCAAAAAAAAAAAAAAAAAAAAAAAGGCUAAAAGGAAGGACUGUUUUGAGCUGAGGCAACCCCAAGGACUGGUGACAUUCCCUGGGUCUCCCCUGCCAGCCUCGUGUCAUACCCCAAGAGAGGCUGGGACACAUCUGUGAAACAGGAUGCUGAACAGCGGAACACAGCGGACUUGAGCCAGCCUAAGUGGGUUUCUGCUCCUUGCAACAAGAGGCCUGAAUAGAAGCCCCUUCUUCAGGGGAGUGGGCAUCAGCUCAGAAAGAGGAUCCCAUGGGAACUGACUUUGCUGGUGACCAAGGCCCUACCACCAGGGCACCCUGCCCAUGUAUCCCAAGCAGAGGGAGCAGAACCAGCGGUGUAACUACUGUGCUUGACACCCAGGGCAGGUCUUUUUUUAACUCACCGAUCUUCCAUGCAACAAAAUUGUUUUCUGUGAAAAGCAGGAAAUGAAUAACAACAGCGUAGGUGCGUUGGCUAUGUCCGGUGGCAUUUCUUCAGAAUUUUCAUUAAUGACACCUGAUUUUGGAGGCAUUGUAUAUUUUUAAAUACAUCCAGAUGUUGUUUCAGUUGCUUCCUCUUUGGUUCUUUUUGCUUUUCGUUGUUGAGCGUCACUUAAAUUCGUGUCAUUUCAUGUUGGUACAGGUACUCCACUUCAAAUUUCCCAAGAAAUUCAGAAGAAUUGUGAACAAGUUGCUGGUUUCACAAUACUGCAAGACACUGCAAGUUAUUCCAAGUUCCUACAGGACAACGAUGCACAAUUAUUUACUUACUUAUGUUUAAAUAUACCUAUCAGUUUGACUUUCAUCCUUUGGUGACAUUCUAAUAAUUUAUGUAAAUAAUUAUUCAGAGACCAAUGAGAGGAUUUUAAUAAGUGCAAAAUGUUAGCAGACGGUACAACAUUGAUAAAUCUAUGGUCUGUAUUUUGUUCUGCCAUUUCAAAAUAAUUAAAAAGUAAGUUUCAAUUUAAAAACAUUAUUGAAAUUCAGUAAAAUAUUUCAAGCAUGAACUAAAAUAUACACUUACUAAACACAAAUAUUACACCUCACAUUUCAUACUCUGUUUCAUUGUUUUAAAUUUUAAACAGAAAUAACUCCACCGGCCACCUAGAAUGAUCAAAUCAGGCAACUCAAGUUACUUUGUUUCAUCUUCACAAUCACUGUGCUAUCAUUGUUCAUUUUGAAUCUACUUUUUAAAAGCAAGAAUAUUUGAUACCAGAUACCAGACACAAAUUAUACCUGAAAAGGAUGUCAUUUUAGGAUUUGUGUCCCACCUAAAGGAUACAAUUCUGUACCCUGACAAUGUUAUUCUAGAAAUAAAUGCCUAUGAGUGAGUCUUGUUUCAAGAGCCAACUCUACAACUAGGAGUUCCCCCAAAGUAACUUCCAUGUGCAAUAAAGUUUUUAUUAAAGGAUAAGUAUUAAAAUUGUCCUAAGCAGAAAACCAAACACUGCAUGUUCUCACUCAUAGGUGGGAAUUGAACAAUGAGAACACUUGGACACAGGGUGGGGAACAUCAC